rnacentral:lncRNA from 1 species
AGGAGGAGAACCUCGCCCUAACGUGAGCAAAGUCAAAGGCCCGAUUUUUUUAGACUGGAUGGGGGGAGAGGCCCUACAACGCCCUUAUGCGCCCCCACGGCCACGUCAGGGACAGAAGGAGGACCUCGCCCUAACGUGAGCAAAGUCGAAGGCCCGGUUCCUCUUAGACUGGAUGGGGGGAGAGGCCAAACAGCGACCAC